AUUAUUUAAAAAAACUCAAAAAAAUCAAAAUCCGAUCUCUCUUCAUUUCUCUCUGGCCAAGCUUGAUGAAUUUUUCGAUCUGAUCUCAGAUUUUCCCGUGAAGCUUCAAUCAUAUUCGAACUAAGGCCACACGGACAAGCAUUGUCUUCUUCUAUGGGGAGGGAACUUAGAAGACUACGCUUUUUGACCAGGAGAAUGACCGGUAAGGAUCUUGAUGGUCUGAAUUAUGCCAAGCUUCUCGUAGUUGAAAGCCAGUUAAGGGAUGCACUUCUCAUUGUGAAGAACCAAAAGAAGAGAGUAAAGCUGCUAAAAGAUGAAAGGCUGUGCAAACAAGAGGUUAAGAUUUUAUAUCAUAGACAGUACUAUCAAUCUGAGAAGUCUCACAAGGACAUGAGCGGAAAAUGUAAAUGAGCUAAGAUGUGCGUUUUUGAGCCUUGGGUUUUGGUUUCUCAUGUGAUUUUGGAUCUGCUUGUUUCCAAGUUUGACAAAAGUGUAGGAAAGAACAA